rnacentral:rRNA from 1 species
UACGUAGGGUGCGAGCGUUGUCCGGAAUUAUUGGGCGUAAAGAGCUUGUAGGCGGUCUGUCGCGUCGGAUGUGAAAAUCCAGGGCUCAACCCUGGACCUGCAUUCGAUACGGGCAGACUAGAGUUCGGCAGGGGAGACUGGAAUUCCUGGUGUAGCGGUGAAAUGCGCAGAUAUCAGGAGGAACACCGGUGGCGAAGGCGGGUCUCUGGGCCGAUACUGACGCUGAGGAGCGAAAGCGUGGGGAGCAAACAGG